AGCGAAUGGAUUAAGAGCUUGCUCUUAUGAAGUUAGCGGCGGACGGGUGAGUAACACGUGGGUAACCUGCCCAUAAGACUGGGAUAACUCCGGGAAACCGGGGCUAAUACCGGAUAACAUUUUGAACCGCAUGGUUCGAAAUUGAAAGGCGGCUUCGGCUGUCACUUAUGGAUGGACCCGCGUCGCAUUAGCUAGUUGGUGAGGUAACGGCUCACCAAGGCAACGAUGCGUACCCGACCUGAGAGGGUGAUCGGCCACACUGGGACUGAGACACGGCCCAGACUCCUACGGGAGGCAGCAGUAGGGAAUCUUCCGCAAUGGACGAAAGUCUGACGGAGCAACGCCGCGUGAGUGAUGAAGGCUUUCGGGUCGUAAAACUCUGUUGUUAGGGAAGAACAAGUGCUAGUUGAAUAAGCUGGCACCUUGACGGUACCUAACCAGAAAGCCACGGCUAACUACGUGCCAGCAGCCGCGGUAAUACGUAGGUGGCAAGCGUUAUCCGGAAUUAUUGGGCGUAAAGCGCGCGCAGGUGGUUUCUUAAGUCUGAUGUGAAAGCCCACGGCUCAACCGUGGAGGGUCAUUGGAAACUGGGAGACUUGAGUGCAGAAGAGGAAAGUGGAAUUCCAUGUGUAGCGGUGAAAUGCGUAGAGAUAUGGAGGAACACCAGUGGCGAAGGCGACUUUCUGGUCUGUAACUGACACUGAGGCGCGAAAGCGUGGG
rnacentral:rRNA from 1 species